GGCGACAAUGGACCUUCUUCAUUGUUACUCAUUCCACCCCCUUCCUCGGCUGACAAACGAACAGGUGAAACGAAUGCAUCGUCAGUUGCUGCUUGUGGACAUCCAGCACUCUGAAAACCGUCAUCUGCAGUUGACUUUUUACUUCUUCUUUUGGCCUUCUCUUUCUCCAACUCUUGCUCUAAGUCAUUCACCUCCCUUUUAAGUUUUUCAAUUAAACACUUCUGAUCCUCUGCAGUGCGCAUCAAACUCUACCUGUGUUCUUUUUUUAGCAAUUUCUUUUUUCUUCGCUCUGCAUAGUUUUUUGGUGCUGCUUCUUCUUCUAUGACAUCUUUGUCAUCC
rnacentral:lncRNA from 1 species